AUUGAACGCUGGCGGCAGGCCCAACACAUGCAAGUCGAACGAGUGGCGGACGGGUGUGUAACGUCUGGGAAAUUGCUCGAUGGAGGGGGUUAACUACUGGAAACGGUAGCUAAUACCGCAUACCAUCGGAUGUGCCCAGAUGGGAUUAGCUAGUAGGUGGGGUAACGGCUCACCUAGGCGACGAUCCCUAGCUGGUCUGAGAGGAUGACCAGCCACACUGGAACUGAGACACGGUCCAGACUCCUACGGGAGGCAGCAGUGGGGAAUAUUGCGCAAUGGGCGGAAGCCUGAUGCAGCAAUGCCGCGUGAGUGAAGAAGGCCUUCGGGUUGUAAAGUACUUUCAGCGGGGAGGCGUUACUCGCAGAAGAAGCACCGGCUAACUCCGUGCCAGCAGCCGCGGUAAUUC
rnacentral:rRNA from 1 species